UUUAGUCGAGCUAUAUUUUUUUAUUUCCAAUCCAAAUAACUUCAAUCUAAAUAACUUCACACACACACAAAUCAUUCUCGAAGGUUUGCGCAUGCUACGGCACAUUCUCGAUAGUUUUUGCGAGCAAGUAAUUCCAUAGAAAUCUACUGUAAUGGAACCUGCAUACGACUUUACUCGUUCAAAGCUGUCGGAGAGUUGUCCGCGGCUCCGAUGGUGAAAUAGUUCGAAGAAUCAUCGUCUGGAAACGUCGUGCAGAGGUAGAAGCUUCGGUUUCCGGGAUGUAACGUGCACAAGUUGGUCUCAGUAUCUCGUCGGGAAAAGAACAGCCCUCGCAACUGUAAAUGAGUCGAGUCGAGCUACGGGGAGGCAGAGGGAGAGCUCGCAAGAGAGAGAAAAUGGCAAAGAAAGUUUUAAGUAGUUCUCAAAGUUUUGCAAUCGAUACUGUCACCAGCAACGGCUGGAUAAAUUCACGUUGAAUCGUUUUCGUAAACUCGAGUCCGCCAGCGAUUUAUCGAGAUCGCUCGCAACAGCGCCGAUAGGCCAUCGAAUUAGUUCAAAGACUUCCAGAAAUGUCAGAUUGCUUUAGUGAGAUCAUAAUGUAUAGAAAUCAUGAUAUCAAUCUAACGGAGUAAUCUUUUAGGAUUUCUCACGAUUCACGGUGCUCUCUUCGUGCUAGACAACCGAAUUUUUAUUUAUUUUCCUUGAAAAUAAAUAAAUAAAAUUUAUAUACGACAAGCUCUAUGUCAUAAGUGUUUGAUUUAUUUUUAUUUAUUUAUUUAUUUUGAUUCAUCGCCAUCUAGAUGCGAUCCGGAUAUUUAAUUAAUGGCCUAAUACAAGCAGAGUAUUAACAACAUGAAAAAAAUUUUAAAAGCAGCAAUUGUUAACAACUUAUCGAAUAAUCAUCGAAUAAUCAUCAUCGAAUUAAUGAAUCAAUAUUUGAACAUUGAAAGAAAGAUUGUGCAGUUCUCUCUCGCGGGACGUCUCGCGCUUAUAACACGCGCGCAAUAGCGACGCGCGAUAUAAAUUUCGAAACUGGGUCCCGGUAAACCGAUCGCGUGCGGCGAAACGGUACAUCCCACGGUUUCUCCUUCGCGGAACGGCCACAGGUCGAAUUUUCCAAUUUCGCCCUUUAAUUGAGCGCCAGGCGCGCGCGAGCUCCGUUUAUUCCGGUAUUUAUUCGUCAAUAUCGCAGUCCGUGUAUAUCGUGUGCCCCGUAUUGUACCCGGGAGAUUAAAAUUGCGAUGUAUUACUCCGAUCGAAACGGUUUUGGCACAAGGGUGCAUCCCCCUCCCCACCACACAGAAGCACCGCGAUUGCAUUCGCAUCCCGAGCUUCAAACGCCAAAGCUGGCCGCCUCAUCCACGCCGGGAACCAUUGUGAUUUAUGACCCGUGUAAUGCGAAUCGCAAAUUUACCCUGCUACCAAGAGUGCACGGUAGAAUAGUUUGUCUUUCAGCAUAAAUACAUCUCGAAGGAAUUUCUUGCAGCUCGACUUACUUCGGUGAUUACUUGCACCACCUACAGAAAGUCGUAGCGAAAUCGUGCCGUAUCACGUAUCAAUUUUAUUAGGUGUGCAAAUUAAUUCGAUUUUUUUUUAAGAAAUUGAGCUUUUAUUUAUAAGUACUUGCAAACGUUCGUAUGAUAUUCAAGUCAUUUUUCUUCUUUCUAGAUCUUUCCCAUUGCUCUCAAAUAAUACUGUUAAUUCAUUAACUUCAAGCGUCCUAUAAGCUGUUUUAAAUGUUUGAGACGAGUUUUCGUUGAGCAAUGGUUCCAAUUCGUUGUUCUCCAAUUUGUUGUAACCUUACGAACUUUUGCAAGCAUCUAUUUUUUUCGAGAGGGGAUUCGUCAGCUGUCCGAUGGAUGAAGUAAAGCAUUAGAAAAUGACGGCGAAUAUUUCAAAGAUUGACAUAUUCGUUAUUUUUUUAUAAUAAAGGCUCAAUUUCUACAAAAAGAACAUUAUAUUAAUUUGCGCACCUAAUAUAUCCUUUUCCCUUGCACUCUUCCGACGAUGAUGCAACGUCCGUCGAUUUUAUCGCCGCAUGCCUGCGGAAGGAAGUUUUCCUCGGAGGAAUGAAAUUUUAGUGAAGUAAUUUUAGUGCGCCGUUACAUCAUCCGACUGCUCGAUUCCAAGUUAACCAUUUUUCCAAAGCUGAAUUUUUUAUCACGUGCAAAAGUUACGUGAUGAGGUUCCCUCGGCUCAUAUGCGCGUGGAGAGGACUCGCGAUAGUCGGGCUCGACUUGAAUUUUGAGCGGACCGUGUUUGCAUUAAAUAUAUAAAUGGUUCGCUUUUCGACAGAAACUCCCUUUUCAGAUUUGAGUUUUUCAUUCGCGGCAAGUUAUCUAACCAGUCUCGGGCGCCGUAAAUGCGAAACUUUCCACAUGGUACGUAUUUCAGCCGAGCCGCAUCUGCAUUGAAUGCUGGAAUAGGUUUCGUACCGAGAAAAUCUUCCUUUGAAUCUGGAUUUUUACAGUCGGCAAAAAAGUCGCUCUGUCGUUCACGAAAGUUUCAUAGGUCUGAAUUAUAAUUUUCUUUUAUCCCGGUCAUAUUUUUCAUUUGAUUUUACAUAGCGCCGUAGUUACGACAGAUCUUUCUUUACCGCAUUACUGUUGCCUUUAUGAAAUUCGAAUGUUUUUUAUCAUAAAAAUUGCAUAUAUAUUUUUUCAAUUUAAAUUAAAUUACAAAAAAUAUUACAAAGUAAGUUUUUAUGCAUAAAACACACGUGUUUCUGAUUGUUAACUCCAUGCGAACCCGCAAUGUGUACUCCAGAAAUCCAGGUUUUAUUUUAUUUCUAUGUAAAGGAGGGGUGAACUUAUUAACUCCAUAUAUUCUCUCGUAAGAUUAUUACUGCAUGAUAAGUGGCCUGCUUUUAUGUUUGCUUAACACGGAGCUAAUGAAAUAUGCAAGUCAGUGUGCGUGUUUCGUUAAUCAUCAGCGCGGAUCCAUAUAUAUUUUAAAGGCGGGGGUAGUAAACGUAGCGGGGAAAAUUCGCAUGUUGAUUCCCGCUUGUUGCAAACAAUAGCUAGAUUCAGAUUCACUUGUAAAGCGACAGUAGCGCCCAAGGGCUGCUUGAGUGGACACAAAGAGGUUGCGUUACACUCUGCACCGUCUGUCACUGCAUGCAGUGCAUACGAGUCAGUCAAUUUUUUGUGCAGCACACUGCACAAUUCGCUGAGAUUUCAUUUUCGUCUCGUUUUGGUGCAGUUCCGGGAAAUUUUUUCGUUUGCUUGGAAUUUAUACGCGUCGAUUUUUGCUGCACCUACGUGGCCGCGAGCUUCAACGACGCUAACGUGAUCAACGGAGACGCACGCGCCACAGUUGAUCACGUUAAAUAACCGCACGCGAGCGGGCGCACCCUCGCCAACCUAAUUGUCCGUCAUUCAAUUUACGGCCUCGUCGCCGGAUAUUCAACGUUGAAAAUUACGAAGGUGCGCAAAGACGCGUUUUCGUUUCAUCGUGCUCGCUGAGAAUCCGAGAGCAAAAGAGGGACAGCAGCGAGUUGAAAAUAUAUACGCUUACGUAAUGCGAAAAGUUACGGGGGUGUGCGACUCUCCCGACGACGACGACGGGACGAAAAUUCAACGCGGCAAAUAGAGAGCUCCCCGGAGGUGCUCUGCGAUUUCGCGAACGAAGGGCGAAACAGGGCACGCUGCAUUUGCAUUCCGUCGCGCGUCGCGCGGUUGCAUUCUUUCGUAAUUAAACACGGCGCGUCGGAGGUAGCUACGCCAUAAGAGAACCACCACCUUUCUCCCUUCCUCCCUCUCUCCUCGAUCGAUAUUCGAAGGGAGCGAAAAGCAGGGAAACGGUACACGCAAAAGCGUGACGCUUUCCUUCCCUUCCUGCUCGCCGCUCUUUUCGCGCUAACGGUCCGUGUUUUAAUUCGUCCUAAUUAACGCGCAAUUAGGCGCGUCGUUAUGCGCGAGUUGCCGUGGCCCCCGGCUUAUCCGGGAAUUGCUUCCUCGACCGGCCGCGGCUGUAAACUUAAUUCUUCCGGAUGCUCUUUUUAAUUAGAGCUACCCGCCCGCGCACGCUCGCGCGCGCACACGGGUGCGGUAACUGCCGCGUAUUAAAAGGAUAUUUCUAUCUCACUCUCGGCUCUCUUCCUUUUCUCGGCGACCGACUGGGAGAGUGAGUCAACCCGCGUCGAAGCGGUUUCCCUCCCCUAUACGGGGGGGAGUUAGGGAGGAGCGUCCAUUAUUUCUCUUUAAAUCCAAUAGGAUUUUCCAUUUUUCCCAGACGAUGCUACGUCUCUAAAUGCGCGCACUGCGUUUCCCCGCAGUAUCUCCCGGCGAACUGGAAGUUAUUACUGUCCCUCGAGCGUGCUUUAUUCCCUUUAUUAUUGUUAUUAUUAUUAUUAUUAUUAUUUCCUCGGCGCGAGUUUUCGAGGCGCAUGCGCUCGGGCCAGACGUCGCUCGGAGACUCAUUAUAAUAAUAUCGGCCAGAACAUUUGCAUUGAAAUGAUAAUUUGCAUUGCACCCUCCGUGCGGCCGCUCCGACAGGUCCGCUGCACGCCCUUCGUGCGUCCUCUCACCCUCCGUACGCGGUUCUUAACCUCCGCGGCGCAAGCACGAGAUAUUUUUCUUCUCGGGUAACGGUCGCGUGGAGAUCGUUGUUGAACGCGUCUCCGCUUCUCUUGGUCUCUCUUGGGCUCUCUUUCUUGAUUCUCCAGACUUCUCUGGCGUUAUGUAAAUGUAUGCUCUUGAAAAUAAAAACAUUUGCCGUGCGUACGAGAAGGGGGAAGGGAGAGGAAAGGGGAAGGGGAGAGUACGUUGGUAAAACAUCACGAAGCCGUGCGCGCGCGAAUCCGCGCGAUAACAAGCUCCGUGCGAUAACGCUCGAUGAAUACGUUUCGCCCCGCGCUCCGCCGCGCCGUCGCGCCUUUUUGCCUUCGGUGUUUGCCGAUUUAAUGGUCGUCGUUUGUGAUAAAACUUAGAAAUAUCGUAUUCUGGAAGUCGUCGUGGCACGGAACGCCGGCUCGAUGAAUGCAGCAACGUGAUUUUUCGCGACGCGAACGCCCGCGGAUUACUGCAAUCCAGCACGCGCAACUUUCCCGUCGUCGUCGUCGCGGAAUUAAUGCGCCCAGUGACGGCUGCUUUGACAGUCGUUAUUGAAAUUCCAUCGACGAUGAGGAAAUUUUAAUAUCUUCAGCGUUUCUCAGUGGAAUAACGAGGAGGCCCACCUGGAAGCGGGAAAACGAUGCCGAAGAAAUCCAUAUCUAAAGCAGAUAGUAAUCAUGGAAGAUAGAAAACGGGGUCUAAAAAUUAUUACCAACUUUGGUAAAUGUUCAGAUUAGGGGCGACUUCACCGAUUUUAAUGACCUUGACAUAUGUUGUUAGGGUCAUCCUCCUGAGUGACCUUCAAGAGGUUUUAACUGUCGCUCAUUGUUUAUUAAAAAGUUAUUAACAAAAUUAAUUUAAUAGUUACGCAUGGCUUUUCAAUGUCUCACGUAAAGCAGAAUCCACUGUACACUGCUUGACGCUUUCAGUACGAAGCUCCUGACUUUAUUUAUUUAUAUUCCUUCGCGUUUGACCUAUGUUGCGCAUUUGUAUUUGUAACCUCUCAGUCAUCUUCUGUUAGUCGUUGUUGAAAGAUUACUUAUUACCAUCUAAAAUAAAACUGUACGAGUUCUCAAGAAUAUGUGAUGAUAGAAAUAAAUUAUUUAAUUAUCUAAUAGAACACAGAGUUCUGUCAAGUUCUAUGCGUUGUCCUCGGUGCAACAAUGCAAUGGAUUUUAAUCGCGAUUCCCUAUUGUUUCGAUGUUACAAUGUGGAAUAUAUUCGUAAUUGUCAUAAAAAACAGUUGAAGAAGAAAUGUAAUACAAAACUUAGUGCUCUCCAUAAUACAUGGUUCGCAGAAAGUCGUUUGGAUUUACAAACAGUGUGCCGAUUUAUUGCAUAUUUUCUUUAUAUCAGACCGCCACGUUUUGCUUUACUUCAAAAUGAACUUGAAAUCGCCAAAGCCACUAUUGUUGACUGGUCAAGUUUUUGUCGUGAGUUAUGUAUUCAAUGGAUGGAGUCAAAUACAGAAAUGAUUGGAGGAGAAGGAGAAACAGUUGAAAUUGAUGAGGCUAAAGUUGGAAAAGGGAAAUAUAACAAAGGACGGAUUGUAGAAGAACAAUGGAUAUUUGGUGGAAUUGAGAGAUCAAGCAAACGAUUAUUUAUUGAACCAGUACCUGAUCAAUCGGCUGAUACUUUACUUACUGCAAUAAAAAAAUGGAUAAAACCAGGAACAACAAUCAUAUCAGAUUGUUGGAAAUCCUACAAGUGUCUAGCCAAUGAGGACUAUAUACAUUUAACCAUAAAUCAUAAAAUGAAUUUUGUUGAUCCCGACAGUGGUGCGCAUACGCAAAAUAUUGAGCGUUGUUGACGAGAAACACGUGCAAAUAUUUCGCGAUACGAAACCCGAAAAAAUCAUUAUCUAGGAUACUUAGCAGAAUUUUUGUUUCGCCGACGUUAUGAUUAUUACAAACGAAUAAAUGCUUUUUUCAAUACUAUGGCACAGAUGUAUCCGAUAUCUGAACAGAAUCAAUAAGGAAUAAUUUGUAUUUAAUUGUUUGUAUUAUUUGUU